UACGUAGGGUGCAAGCGUUAAUCGGAAUUACUGGGCGUAAAGCGUGCGCAGGCGGUGAUGUAAGACAGGUGUGAAAUCCCCGGGCUUAACCUGGGAACUGCAUUUGUGACUGCAUCGCUGGAGUGCGGCAGAGGGGGAUGGAAUUCCGCGUGUAGCAGUGAAAUGCGUAGAUAUGCGGAGGAACACCGAUGGCGAAGGCAAUCCCCUGGGCCUGCACUGACGCUGAUGCGCGAAAGCCAGGGGAGCGAACGGG
rnacentral:rRNA from 1 species